UGAGGAAUAUUGGUCAAUGGGCGCGAGCCUGAACCAGCCAAGUCGCGUGAGGGAUGACGGCCCUACGGGUUGUAAACCUCUUUUGUCGGAGAACAAAACCCGGGACGUGUCCCGGACUGCGUGUAUCCGAAGAAAAAGCAUCGGCUAACUCCGUGCC
rnacentral:rRNA from 1 species